CCCAGGUGGACAUUCCAAGCCUCACCCAUUGGCUUCCAGUCUGGUCCCAAACAGUUUCGGAGAGAACCCCGUCUCCCGGGGCAACAGAAUUCCAGCAUUAACAUUUCCAUCUGCAGAACAAGGCUUCUCCCUUCGGUGAAAUGCCUUUGCGGUCUCAUGAUAAACACACCCGUGGAGGCCGAGAGCUCUUGGAGGACCAGCUGCAGCCUUGAGAUGCAGGCCUCAGUGUCAUCUGUAGAAUGGGGUCGUCAUAGGAUCCAGCACAGGGGUCACUGUGGAGGGCCGAGAAGAUGACGUGUGCGAAGGCCCUGCCUCACAGGGAUGCUCAGACCUCUCUGGGCCAUGUGCGGGGAGUUGAGGGACCUUGUUCUCCCACUGACAACACUUUGAGCUUCCAAGUUGUCAUACUGAGGAUUCACCGUCUCCAGGCGGGGGUUGGGGCUGACCCUUCCACUGUCCCCGUCACUGGUGACGUCACAGCAGAGGAGUCUGCGGAGACCGAGUUCUGGGGGAGGGGAGGGGUCUGGGGGGCAGUGUGUGUCCCUGUGGUGUUGGGCAUGUCAAACAGCCGCCCCUUUCCUCUGUUUGGCAGAUGCCAGCACUUCACACUCAUGUGGACGCAUCGUGGGCCUUCUACAUAUGCUGAGACAGCUGUGGGUCUGUGCCCAACACCCACAGGGCUCCAGAAAAUGCUGAGCAGGAAGAAGGGCUGCGUGGGGAGGCAGGAGGGCAGAGGGGCCUGAGAGCUGGGCAGGCAGCCAGAGCCCUGAAGACUCAUCAGGAGCUGGGACGGAAUGCACGCCCCACCUCCCGCGGUCAAGGUGAAGGGUAAAGGAGACAGCGUUCGCUCAGGCAGCGCCAGACACACAGCAGGUGCUUCAGCAUUACUGUCACAAACCCAGGCAAAGCCCAGGGCUGAGGCGAGUAACAUCACUUCCAA
rnacentral:lncRNA from 1 species